AAUAUAUUAGUUUAAAAUAAAACGAUAAUUUGUGGAAUUACCAAUAGAAUAAUUAAAA
rnacentral:tRNA from 1 species